rnacentral:rRNA from 1 species
GCCCAGCACCGAAUCCUUCACCAUAUCGGUGACAGGAAAUGUGGUGUUUAGGCCGUACUUUGUCCUGAUACGUCUCUCCUCAAGUCCACUUGAUUGUGGCCCUCGGCCCAGAGAGGGUGUAAGGCCCGUGGAGGCGAGAUGUUCAGUACCUGGUGCGUCCUUAGAGUCGGGUUGUUUGGGAAUGCAGCCCUAAGCGGGUGGUAAACUCCAUCCAAGGCUAAAUACCAGCACGAGUCCGAUAGCGAAGAAGUACCGCGAGGGAAGGUUGAAAAGAACUUUGAAGAGAGAGUUCAAGAGUACGUGAAACCGCUGAGAGGCAAACUGGUGGAACUGAAAUGGUCUCGAGGAAUUCAGCCGUUGGUGUUUGUACAGCCGGUGUCGUCUGAUUUAACGACAGCUUCAUCGGUUGACGCUUACGUCAUCGGUGCACUUUCCUCGUUGUGGACCCGACCACGACCGGUGAGCUGCUCUGUCCAUCGUGCUUGGAAGGUAGCGCCGUCUUCGGAAGGCGUGUUAUAGACUUGCGCAUGGAGCAGUACGGCACACUGGACGAUAGUGCCUGCCCAUUGGGCUCAUAUGGUGGUUGUUUUAUUGGCGAGUUCCGAUGUCACUACUUCGGUAGAGGCAUUGGUCUCUGUCAGCAUUAUGACUGUCCGCUAUGAUUGGCGCUGGUAAGUCUGUGGUUGUGAAGUAGGUAGUCCACCUGACCCGUCUUGAAACACGGACCAAGGAGUCUAACAUGUGCGCGAGUCAUUGGGUUCGCGAAACCUAAAGGCGAAGUGAAGGUAAAGAUCUGUUUUGGCAGAUUGAGGUGGGAUGCUGGGUUACGCGCCCAGCCGCACUACCGGCCCGUUCUACAUGUAUCUCAUGGGGGCGGAGCAAGAGCGUACACGUUGGGACCCGAAAGAUGGUGAACUAUGCUUGC